AACAUCCUCCAAGGUAACCGUGCA
rnacentral:siRNA from 1 species